rnacentral:rRNA from 1 species
GACGAACGCUGGCGGCGUGCUUAACACAUGCAAGUCGAACGGAAAGGCCCUGCUUUUGUGGGGUGCUCGAGUGGCGAACGGGUGAGUAACACGUGAGUAACCUGCCCUUGACUUUCGGAUAACUUCAGGAAACUGGGGCUAAUACCGGAUAGGAGCUCCUGCUGCAUGGUGGGGGUUGGAAAGUUUCGGCGGUUGGGGAUGGACUCGCGGCUUAUCAGCUUGUUGGUGGGGUAGUGGCUUACCAAGGCUUUGACGGGUAGCCGGCCUGAGAGGGUGACCGGCCACAUUGGGACUGAGAUACGGCCCAGACUCCUACGGGAGGCAGCAGUGGGGAAUAUUGCACAAUGGGCGGAAGCCUGAUGCAGCAACGCCGCGUGCGGGAUGACGGCCUUCGGGUUGUAAACCGCUUUCGCCUGUGACGAAGCGUGAGUGACGGUAAUGGGUAAAGAAGCACCGGCUAACUA